rnacentral:rRNA from 1 species
GAUGAACGCUAGCUACAGGCUUAACACAUGCAAGUCGAGGGGUAACAAGAGGAAAGCUUGCUUUUCUUGUUGACGACCGGCGCACGGGUGAGUAACGCGUAUCCAACCUGCCUAUAACUAGGGAAUAACCUUGCGAAAGUAAGACUAAUACCCUAUGAUUUCCUUUGAUGACAUCAGAUUAGGAAUAAAGAUUUAUCGGUUAUAGAUGGGGAUGCGUCUGAUUAGCUUGUUGGCGGGGUAACGGCCCACCAAGGCAACGAUCAGUAGGGGUUCUGAGAGGAAGGUCCCCCACAUUGGAACUGAGACACGGUCCAAACUACUACGGGAGGCAGCAGUGAGGAAUAUUGGUCAAUGGGCGGAAGCCUGAACCAGCCAAGUAGCGUGCAGGAUGACGGCCCUAUGGGUUGUAAACUGCUUUUAUACAGGAAUAAAGUUAGCCACGUGUGGUUAUUUGUAGGUACUGUAUGAAUAAGGACCGGCUAAUUCCGUGCCAGCCGCCGCCGUAA